rnacentral:lncRNA from 1 species
CGCGGCCGGUCAAUGGGGUCCAGGGCAGGUGCUGGCCAGCGGCGGGAGGCGGCCGGUGGCGCGGCGGCUGCGAUCCAAUCCGCCAAGUUGCUCUCGGGUUCAAGGGCGCCGGCGGCAAGGCGACGGCCGGAGGAGGUCAGGGCGACGUCAAUCCGUCGGCGGAGGCCGAGGGUAUCAUGAUACGCCCCUCCGUGGGCGGCGGCGUCGUGCGGUGGCCGAGGUGGCUCGGCCUAGGCCCGCACCAGCUCUGGACAGCCGCAGAGUGGAAGAGCGGCGGCCGACGGCUUCGGGGACGUCCGUGGAUGAACGCCGGAGGUCGCCGGAGGUGUCUGGAGGGCGGCACUGCCGGCGGGGAGCAGCGGCACCGCGCGGAUGCCGAGAUCACCCAAGCUCGGUCUGGGUGAUCGCGGUUGGCCGCAAGGAGCUAGGGCGGCUCCGUCGGCGCUUUGGGACGGCGGGGCCGCGGGCGACGGCGAGCGGGAUGUCGCCAGAAGGCGGCGCGGCCGAUGGGGGCCGGUAGCCGCACACGAAACCCGAGAUCGAGCCUGCUCGGUCUGGGCUGACCCGAGCUGGCUGCAGCUUGCUCAGCUGGCUCCAGCGGCACGUGCUGACGACGGAAACGUCCGGUGAUGGUACCGGACGUUGGUCUCGGCCAGGGGAUGGUGACGCUCUGACUUAGAUGACUCCUUGAGACCCCAACCACAACGUGGUGGAGUGGUUGGCCGAACGGGAGGGAGAGGGUAGUGCGGAAGGGUUUUCCGGUGGUCGGAGAGGCUUGCCGGCGGUCAGGGCGCGCGCACGGUUGGGCAGGGAUGCAGGUGGGGCGGCUAGGGUUCAGUUCGGCUAAAGAGAAGGCCAAAAGCUAGGGUUUCCUCAUGAAACCCUAGUGCAACUACUAUAUACAUAUGUACAUUUUGCAAGAUAGUCCUCCCAGGGAUAAUAUUCUCAGUCAAGUCCUUCACAGCUCACGUAUUUUACACAUACGCACCUCCACGUCCGAUCUCACGCGAUUCGGCACAUAAAAUAUAGGGUCUCUUCGUGAUUUAUCCGUUUUGCCAAUUUGACCCCUCAGUGGACCUUUCGCGUUUCCCAUAGAUCCGUCCGUCAGAUUUGCGAACGGAUCGCACUAGUGCGAUCAGCACAACGGAGACAAUAAACCUACGAUUUUGAUUCACAUCGAUCGGUCAUGGAUUCGCGACGAAACCUGUCCGCUCUCCAAUUUCCAAAAAACCACACACAUAUACCAAUGUGUAAUCCCACUAAAUCCUAGAUUCAAAUUCAAAUUUGAAUCUCCUACUACUAGUAGGUACAUGUAACAUCACUCACCUUACUCUAGGUCACAUACGCAGAGCACGAGGAGUCUCAUUAUGCAAGAACAGCAAAGAGCGAAAACCCUCUUUUCGAUAAAAUCCCUUUUUCUCGAAAAUCGUGCAUCAGAUCUGAAAUCCGUCAGUGCCAUUGGUUCCAGAAUAGCUGAACUGGUCGAAACGAGCUAUUGGAUCGCUAUGAACGGAGUCCGAUACGCGCCGAAAGCCAACUCUACUCUGUGGCUUCUCCGAAAAAUCAGAGUUACUAUUCAUUUAAGUAAAAACUAAAAAUCGCGUAUCUUCUCCAUUUUAGCUCAUUUUCUCCUGAAACUUUACGAGUGCUUAUAUAAUUAAAUUACACAUAGGAACAUCAUCAACAGAGAGUCUAAUUACAUUGCCAAAAUCUCAGUCCUUACAUUAUCCCCCCUUUAAAUGAAGUUUCGUCCCCGAAACUUGACCACGUACCCACCGAAAUAGAAUUCAGAUAUUACUCCACCACUACAAUAUCACCCUUGAGUACUGGUCAAUCACAAAUCCUUGAAUUGGGCAAAUCAAUCUCCGAAUAAGGGAAGAAUAGGACCACGGCUCCACUCGGACAAAAACGAGGGAAAAACGUACCAACCCAAAAUCUACGGACCAAAACUCACCGGGAUCAACACCAUCCUAUAACCUGCGGAAAAAAACAGUCCCACUGCCAGGAUUCGUCGAUCCUAACUUUGCCAAUUCUGAGAUAACACUUCAACACUCAGAAAUUCUAGGUCCACUCAACCUUGAUCCGCAUACCAGUAACCGACUCGACUACGUCGCAAGUUCACGUAGAAAAGUCACGAGACACAACUACUAAUCUGGAGUCUAUUUACGUAGACUAAAAUGAAAUACUCCGACUAGCCCACAACAUCAACCUGCUCACCACGAGCGAAUACAAAACGUUGUUCUAUGACCUGAGUCGAAACUCUCACCUUGGAGACCACAGUCUCCCACCAAUAACCACACAAACUGCCAAAACCUCCAUCACCUGCCACAAUCUAUAGUCCUAGGUCCAAGACCUCACUUUCCACCUGACUAACAGGUCCAACUGACGAUACCAUUCGGGCUAGACAAUUUUGUCUCCUCAAACUUAACCAGUACCAACAGACCACUGAAAGCUCUUUGCAAGUCCAUCACUUGAUGCACAGGUCACCAAUCACAAAAGCGAUACUAACCGUCGGCGAUGCUCAACAUUUGUCUCCACGAGACCCUGUCGCUGCCGUCCAACCAGGGACCCUAGCGAUUGAUGUUCCGAGCAAUACCAAAAACAUGUCUCAUUGAGACCUAGGCGCACCUGUCACCUGUUUGACUGGACAAGCAUACUAUUUCUUGGUUUGCACGUUAAGCCGAGUCGCAAACCAUAUAUUCUAUCACAUACGAUGACAAUCAAAGCCAACAACCAGGCUAAAGUCACGCAACAACUGUAAUUCAGAACCGCCUAGCAAAAGGCCGAGACUAACAACCAAGGCAAACCUUUAGUUGUGGAAGGCACAACAAUAGAACCAACGAUCACCUAGACUCGAACCAAAGUAAAAACCAUCAGCAGUGACAGUAAGUCAACUGUGCAAAACCUGCCAGGGAAAUAAUCCAAGGCUCGCCAUAUGGUCAGAGAUGACCAUCACUCUAGCUUUUCCCACAAAACAGUCUAGAGAACACAUCGACCCAAUCCAUAAGUGCCAAACGGGAAGAUAGUAUUUCGUCCCUCUUUCGACAGUAUAUUGUCUGCAGCCAAUAUACUUAUCAAAAGAAAAGCGAAAUAUCCGAAGAUCCACUACCAACAACAAGUUGGAAGCACAACGCGUUAAAGUAUCAAGCCACUUGAUACCUCUCCACUGAACCAGAAGCUCACACCCAAAACCGUCGAAACAUCGACUUUGCAAGCCGACAUUCGAAAUCAGCCCGACCUUGAACCAACUCACAGGGAGUUUCAUAGUUUCAAUAUCUGAAAGCCACUAGCGACACUAAACCGCGAACCACACGGACUGAGGCUGUAAGAAAUGGUUUCUCUAACUAAUUUCCGCACCACAACCGAACUAUACCCAAGCUCCGAGAACUCCGACACUACCCAAGAGUAUCUCGAAUCAAAACAAACUCUACCACAAACCACAGACUAACCUACAACACACCAAUUUAGGUGUUAGAACAAUAGCAUACGAUGUAUGCAUCAACGAAAACCUGACACCAAACUGUGUCAAUCCGACUCUAGUGCACGUCAAUUUGACAAAAGAACUAGUUCAAGGUCAAAAGAUCCAAACCGCUGAUUCCAAUCAGCAAUCAAGGAGGAGAGGUAGGCAUCGCAACCCUACCCAAAGAUCUGCGGAAGCAAUACUAACAAUGCAGUCACCUAAAAGACCGCUAACCAAACCCUGGGCUAGGCCCUAGUAGCCCCACUGAAGUCACGAUCGUAACUGAUCACAGUGCCAUCUCCGUAGAGACACUCUCAACAGCUCUCGUGUCCUAAGUAGAGAGAGUGGCCUGAGCGUCGGCAGUUAUAACACUCGCCUAGGCUCGAAAUCUUACUUGGCCCUUCAAGGCCCCACCUGACAGGAGUGGCAACACCUGGGGAAUGUCGCCCCACCAUUCGAUGUCAGAAUAAGUACACCGCCACUACUCCCGACUUAGACACGAGCUUGUGCGAACCGUAACACAUACAGAAACACCAUGCACUUUGAGUUUACCAAACUCAAAUGCAGCCCAAGACACAAGUCCAAACCCCGCACUCACGUGCCUAUAUACCGUAGGUCUUUCUAUGGGUCAACCUAACCAAUGAUUCAGUUUCAUUUACUUUUCAAAACAACCUGUGAAUGGUAUUGUGGUUGUAACUUGGCUCUGAUACCACUUUAAUCUGUCACGCCUCGGGGUCCCUUUUAGUUUGAAACACAGCGGAAAAGUGUCUAAUUUUUUUUUUUUUUUAAAGCCUAACCCCAGGGUAUGCCAGAUCCGCCACAAAUACAGGGAUUCCACUGUUCACGCGGACAGAAUCUCCCCUAUAUUUGCACGGCAUUGCACAAGUACAAGAGUACAAACAUAAUACAACCACAACUAAAUAAACAUAUAAAUAUCCAACAGUUUUAUAUUCAUACACCAUUCACCACAGGUUCAUUCACAUAGUCUUAAUCAUGAAUCCACAUCUAUCAGUUAAAAUAAUUUCUAUCUGGAAACUGGUUUUGAAAUACUAAGUUACAAAAACCACGAGAAAGCUGUUUGAAAGCCGUUAUUCAUAAGAAAACUCUUUUCUUUUAAAACACGCUACCACGAUGGGUAGAAAACCUUUCCAUUUCAUGAAAAUCCAAAAAUCAUUGUCUCAUUCAGAAAACCAACUGAAAUCUUGAAUAUUUUAACACAAUGAAAUACUGAACCAUAUAAAUCGACUAAGCUAUAUAUCAAUAGAAAUAAUAAGGGUAAAAACUAAACCGAAUAAUAUGGGUCGGAAGCUCUAUCGACCGCUACGUACGUAUCUCGCGUCUCAUCCCAAUACACAACGGCUGCGAUACCUGAAAAAUGGUGGGGGAGGUGAGAACAUGUAAACAUGUCUCCCCUCCCAGUGGGUACCGCAAGCUGAUGAAGGCGAGGAGUACUCACCGGAUCAGGAAGAGAUAAACAACAAUAUGGGUAAGUGUAAUACUAAAUACAGUAGCAACAAUAAUGAAUGAAAGAGAUAGAACUAUAAAUGAAAGCACAACUACCGCUACUGUAAUGAACAACUGAAAGUAUAUAUGCAGCUAAACUAUAGUAGUAAGACAAGUGUAAAGAAAGAACUGAAGGUAUACAAACAACAACCGCUACUAUAGCUAUAUGCGUUAAUCGGUCAAGAAGUACAAAUAUACCCAAUCUGAAAUCUGCUGCUCUAUUGGUCCGCAACGCAAACCUCAAACCUAUGCCACUACUACUCUCCCAUGCAUAUAACCCCUCUAGGGCUCACGGGUUGACACCUGCAACCACUUUUCCGGAAAAGAACACUCCUUGCGGUGGAUCAGACCGCCAGUGUUCGUGAAAUGCGACGAGUAUCGGGCGGUCAAUGCUGAUAAGCUCAAAGGCCAAACGUCGGCAACCAGCCGACAAUCCUGCCCACAGGGCUCAUCGACCGUAUAGGUCAUCAACUGUAAGGAAGCACAAGAACUGACCACUCAGGUCAACUAGGAUGGGACAACAUCAAUAUCCUCUCAAACAUAUGCAAAUACUGCUCAAUGAACCACAAGGACUGACCACUCAGAUCAACUAGGAUAUAUGCACAACGAAUCGACGAAUAGGUCAUCAGGGUGUAUCAAUAGAAUCCAGAACUACCGUCGGCCACUAGCCAACAAUCCAACCCCUCUAGGGUACAUGACCACAACGGUCAUCGAACGACAGAAGUCAAGGAACCGACCGAAUGUAUCACAAAUACGAGAUACAAGAACGGACCAACCAGGUCACUGAUACGAAGUACGAAAACCAACCAACCAGGUCACUGAUACGAAGUACAAGAAUCGACCAACCAAGUCACUGAUAUGAAGUGCAAGAAUCGACCAACCAGGUCAACAGAUACGCACAUGGAUAGAACCACUCUACUCCUACUCAGGAUACUAAGCAUGCACACAACGAGUAGAGUAUAAUGGAAUAACAUGGGUGCAAGGCUCAAUGUAUACUAUGUAAUAAUAACAACAGAAGAGUAAGGGUAAGAAACCAUCACCGAGCGUGCACCACUGUACCGACGUCGGAUCGAAGUACCCACCUGAACAAAUGUCGCGCCUGUCUCCUGACUGCAAAAGAACGUCAACCGGACCUAAGGAGGGUCCACUAGGUUAGUGUCUAACCCACAACUAAGAGACCCCGAAAGCAUAACCCCACAAAUAAACCCACGAGAAUCGGUUUCCCAAACCGAUCGCCGUACUACGCCGGAAGUCCCGUAAUCGCACCGAGACUACGCCAGUACCCACAGACUGUCCCGAAACUCACCGACUCGUACCACGAGUCACCCGCUGCCACUAAAUACAAAUUUACGUGUGACUUGGCAGCAAAGACCUUAACUCACUCCAAAACGAUUAUCGUCGGAUAAUCGUUCCGAUCCGGGUUCCUGGAAGUAUCGAUUUCGACACCGGAACCCACCGUCGCUCACCCGUCGUUUUCGAACCCUCAAAACAAAGCGAGUGACGAGCCAACAAGGCUCAGCGACGUGGCAAAUGGUCACCAAGUAUCGUCGGAAGAGUUUCGAACCGAAAUCGCGUUUUGUCGGCGGAUUUCACCGAAAAAUGCGUCGGAAAUACAUUUUCGAUCUUCGCAAAGGUCUGGGGCCUUGGACAAUCAGUCCAGAGGUCACCCACUGCUCACCCAUGCUGCCAACAGCAGCCGCAACAACCCAGAAUACAUAAAAGCCCUCCCGAUUACCCGAAAUCGCAUUAUUUCAUGCGAUUUCAGCGCUUUUAUGGUCCGUCUACACAAACUAGAAGUCAAUUAGCCAAACUGAGACACCAGCUGACAGGUCUCGGCGUGAUGGAGGCCGUGCUCAUCUUUCGGAGCAAUUCCGGCCACUGCGACAAGAGCGCGAGCGACGCGAACUUCAGCAAAAUUGUGCGCUAAAACUAAAAAUGCUUCAAAUUCACUCAUUCGGGGGUCUUUGACCUUAAAUGAUGUGAGCACUGUGAUCAGCACUAACCAACGAUCACUGUGCUCACCUCCGGAGGCAUCAGAACAGCCUCAGGUCACCGGAACAUUGAUCCCAAACCGAAACAAUGCGCAGAACAGCAAAAACAUUGCUUAUCAGCCAGGGCAGAGCUAGGGCUGGCCGGCGGCGGCCGGACGGCGGGAGCUCCGGCCAGGGACGAGCGCGGCCGGUCGAUGGGGUCUAGGGCAGGUGCUGGCGAGCGGCGGGAGGCGGCCGGUGGCGCGGCGACUGCGAUCCAAUCCGCCAAGCUACUCUCGGGUUCAAGGGCGCCGGCGGCAAGGCGACGACCGGAGGAGGUCGUGGCGACGUCGAUCUGUCGCCGGAGGCCUAGGGUAUCAUGAUGCGCCCCUCCGUGGGCGGCAGUAUCGUGCGGUGGCCGAGGUGGCUCGGCCUCGGCCCGCACCAGCUCUGGACGGCCGCAGAGUGGAAGAGCGGCGGCCGACGGCUUCGGGGACGUCCGGGGAUGAACGCCGGAGGU